rnacentral:rRNA from 1 species
AGAGUUUGAUCCUGGCUCAGGACGAACGCUGGCGGCGGGCUUAACACAUGCAAGUCGCGGGAGAACCGCCCUCUUCGGAGGGCGGGGGCACCGGCGGAUGGGUGAGUAACGCGUAGGCAAUCUGCCCGGGAGACGGGGAUAACGCGCCGAAAGGCGCGCUAAUACCCGAUGAUGCAGCGGGGUCGCAUGACCACAGUUGUUAAAGGCCUUCGGGCCGCUUUCGGAGGAGCCUGCGUGCCAUUAGCUAGUUGGGGGGGUAACGGCCUCCCAAGGCGAUGAUGGCUAGGGGGUCUGAGAGGAUGAUCCCCCACACUGGGACUGAGACACGGCCCAGACUCCUACGGGAGGCAGCAGUGAGGAAUCUUGCGCAAUGGGGGCAACCCUGACGCAGCCACGCCGCGUGCUGGAAGACGGCCCUAUGGGUUGUAAACAGCUUUUGGGCGGGAAGAACCCGGGAUGUUCGCAUCCCGCUGACGGUACCGCCCGAAUAAGCACCGGCUAACUCCGUGCCAGCAGCCGCGGUAAUACGGAGGGUGCAAGCGUUGUCCGGAAUUAUUGGGUGUAAAGGGUGCGCAGGCGUCCCGGCAUGUUUUCGGUGAAAUCCUCCCGCUCAACGGGAGAAGCGCCGGAAAAACGGUCGGGAUUGAGUCCGGAAGAGGCCAGUGGAAUUGGUGGUGUAGCGGUGAAAUGCAUAGAGAUCACCAAGAACACCGGUGGCGAAGGCGGCUGGCUGGUCCGGCACUGACGCUGAGGCACGAGAGCGUGGGGAGCGAACAGGAUUAGAUACCCUGGUAGUCCACGCUGUAAACGAUGCAUGCUAGUUGUCGGCCCUUCGGGGCCGGUGACGCAGUUAACGCGCUAAGCAUGCCACCUGGGGAGUACGUUCGCAAGAAUGAAACUCAAAGGAAUU